GGGUCAGUAGGCUGGUCGUGCCACCGGUACGUACUGGUCUCACUGAUUCCUCCUUCCUGAAGAACCGUGAUGCCAUUAAUUUGGUGUUGCGGGGAAACAGGACUGUUACUUUGAAAAAAUUAGAGUGUUUAAAGCAAGCUAACGCUUGAAUACAUUAGGAUGGAAUAUUGAAAUAGGACGAUCGAUCCUAUUUUGUUGGUUUCUAGGAUUGACGUA
rnacentral:rRNA from 1 species